UACGAAGGGGGCUAGCGUUGUUCGGAAUUACUGGGCGUAAAGCGUGCGCAUGCGGCUUCUCAAGUCAGGGGUGAAAGCCCAGAGCUCAACUCUGGAAUUGCCUUUGAGACUGAGUGGCUUGAGUACGAGAGAGGUGAGUGGAAUUCCCAGUGUAGAGGUGAAAUUCGUAGAUAUUGGGAAGAACACCGGUGGCGAAGGCGGCGACCUGGGUAGAUACUGACGCUGAGGCGCGAAAGCGUGGGGAGCAAACAGG
rnacentral:rRNA from 1 species